rnacentral:rRNA from 1 species
UACGGAGGGUGCAAGCGUUAUCCGGAUUUAUUGGGUUUAAAGGGUCCGCAGGCGGAUCGUUAAGUCAGCGGUGAAAUCCCUCAGCUCAACUGAGGAACUGCCGUUGAUACUGGCGAUCUUGAGUGCGAGUGAAGUUGGCGGAAUGUGUGGUGUAGCGGUGAAAUGCUUAGAUAUCACACAGAACACCUAUUGCGAAGGCAGCUGACUAACUCGAAACUGACGCUCAGGGACGAAAGUGUGGGGAUCAAACGGG